rnacentral:rRNA from 1 species
AUGGUCGAAGGCUCGGAGACGAACAUCGCCAACCUCAAGUUCCUCCUUCUCUGCUUCCAACAGAUGUCAGGCCUCAAGAUCAACUUCGACAAGAGUGAUGUUAUGAUGAUGGGAUACUCCCCCUCUGAUUCUCUGGCCAUCGCCAACAUGCUUAAUUGCCGUCUGGGCUCCUUCCCCACAACCUACCUGGGGACGCCCAUUAGUGAUUCUUGGCUCUCCGUCGCGGACUUGCACCCAUCCGUGGCCAAGCUCCAAACGCGUUGCGAGCCCUGGCAGGGGAGGUGGCUGUCCAAGGCAGCCCGGACCAUUUUCAUCAACUCCUCCCUCUCCAGCCUCCUCUUGUUCCUUAUGAGCUUCUACAACCUCCACGAGUCUCUCCACAAGGAGAUCGCCAAGGUCCAGUCCCGCUUUUACUGGGCUGGCGACAAUGACAGGCAGAAGUACCAUAUGGUCAGCUGGCCUGACAUAUGCAAGCCCAGGGAGCAAGGUGGCCUGGGCAUCAUGUGCUCUAAACGGAUGAAUAUCGCCCUUCUCUCCCGUCGGCUUUGGCGCAUCUCGCAAGGUCACGGUGGCCUCUGGCUUGACAAUAUCCGGAACAAAUACUUGCGCGGACAGCCCCUCGCCUUCUGCCAGAAAUCUGGCGGUUCUCAGUUCUGGCAGUCUAUUGUCCAGCUUCUCCCGGUCCUCCGCAUCGGGACUUCCAUCUCGGUGGGAUCCGGAAUCUUGACGCUCUUCUGGUUUGAUCGCUGGGCCGGGGACAUUCCCUUUGCAGCCCGCUUCCCCGGCCUCUUCUCUAUCUCCGUCGAUCCCCUGAUUUCUGUUGAUAGGGCCCUUCUUGACUUAGGGCGCCUUGCUUUCCGACGACCUUUUGGUCCCUUGGAAUCCACCGCCUGGCGUGAGUUGCUCGACUGUGUUGCUCUCCAUGAGCCAAGGUGGAUGGUGGCCCGGACCUGGUGCGCUGGCGCCUUGAGCCGUCGGGUCAAUUCUCCACCAAGUCGCUAUACCUGGCCAUUGCCCCAUCCUCCGCCCCCCUUCUCCUCUCGAUGGUGUGGUCCAUCCGCGUACCCCUGA